UAAACGAUGUCGACUUGGAGGUUGUGGCUUCCGGAGCUAACGCGUUAAGUCGACCGCCUGGGGAGUACGGCCGCAAGGUUAAAACUCAAAUGAAUUGACGGGGGCCCGCACAAGCGGUGGAGCAUGUGGUUUAAUUCGAUGCAACGCGAAGAACCUUACCUGGUCUUGACAUCCAGGUGCUGCAUGGCUGUCGUCAGCUCGUGUUGUGAAAUGUUGGGUUAAGUCCCGCAACGAGCGCAACCCUUAUCCUUUGUUGCAACUCAAAGGAGACUGCCAGUGAUAAACUGGAGGAAGGUGGGGAUGACGUCAAGUCAUCAUGGCCCUUACGACCAGGGCUACACACGUGCUACAAUGGCGCAUACAAAGAGAAGCGACCUCGCGAGAGCAAGCGGACCUCAUAAAGUGCGUCGUAGUCCGGAUUGGAGUCUGCAACUCGACUCCAUGAAGUCGGAAUCGCUAGUAAUCGUGGAUCAGAUGCCACGGUGAAUACGUUCCCGGGCCUUGUACACACCGCCCGUCACACCAUGGGAGUGGGUUGCAAAAGAAGUAGGUUACCACUUUGUGAUUCAUGACUGGGGUGAAGCGUAACAAGUAACCAAGG
rnacentral:rRNA from 1 species